ACCAGACUCCUACGGGAGGCAGCAGUGGGGAAUAUUGGGCAAUGGGCGCAAGCCUGACCCAGCAAUGCCGCGUGAAGGAAGAAGGCUUUCGGGUUGUAAACUUCUUUGACAGGGGAAGAGCAGAAGACGGUACCCUGAAAACAAGCCACGGCUAACUACGUGCCAGCAGCCGCGGUAAUACGUAGGUGGCAAGCGUUGUCCGGAUUUACUGGGUGUAAAGGGCGUGUAGCCGGGAAGGCAAGUCAGAUGUGAAAUCCGGGGGCUCAACCUCCGAAUUGCAUUUGAAACUGUUUUUCUUGAGUACUGGAGAGGCAGACGGAAUUCCUUGUGUAGCGGUGAAAGGCGUAGAUAUAAGGAGGAACACCAGUGGCGAAGGCGGUCUGCUGGACAGCAACUGACGGUGAGGCGCGAAAGCGUGGGGAGCAAACAGGAUUAGAUACCCGAGUA
rnacentral:rRNA from 1 species